rnacentral:rRNA from 1 species
UAGAGUUUGAUCCUGGCUCACAAUCUACGCUGGCGGCGCGCUUAACACAUGCAAGUCGCACGAGAAAGUGGAGCAAUCCAUGAGUACAGUGGCGUACGGGUGAGUAACACGUGGAUCAUCUACCUCUUGGUGGGGAAUAACCCUGGGAAACCGGGGCUAAUACCGCAUAAGUCCGUAAGGAGAAAGCAGCAAUGCGCCGAGAGAGGAGUCCGCGGCCGAUUAGCUAGUUGGCGGGGUAAAGGCCCACCAAGGCGAAGAUCGGUAGCCGGCCUGAGAGGGCACACGGCCACACUGGCACUGAAAUACGGGCCAGACUCCUACGGGAGGCAGCAUUGGGGAAUCUUGCACAAUGGAGGAAACUCUGAUGCAUCGACUCCGCGUGAGCGAUGAAGCCCUUCGGGGUGUAAAGCUCUUUCGACGGGAAAGAUUAUGACGGUACCCGAAGAAGAAGCUGCGGCUAACUACGUGCCAGCAGCCGCGGUAAUACGUAGGCAGCAAGCGUUGUUCGGAAUUACUGGGCGUAAAGAGUGUGUAGGCGGUGCUCUAAGUCUGUUGUGAAAUCUCCCGGCUUAACUGGGAGGGUGCGGCGGAAACUGGAGUGCUCGAGUGUGGGAGAGGUAAGCGGAAUUCCUGGUGUAGCGUUGAAAUGCGUAUAUAUCACGAGGAACACCUGUGGUGUAGACAGCUUACUGGACCACGACUGAGUCUGAUACACGAGAGCGUGGGCAGCUUUGAUGCUUAGAUACCCUGGUAGUCCCCUCCUGAAGGAUGCAUACUUUGGUGUGAGCCAUUCAUUUGCUCGUGACAGCAGCUAACUUCGUUCAGUAUCCCGGCUAGUGCAGUAUGCCCGCUACGCCUUAAACUCAAAGGAAUUUGACCGGGGGGCCCCCUCCCAAGUC